UUAAGCGACUAAGCGUACACGGUGGAUGCCCUGGCAGUCAGAGGCGAUGAAGGACGUGCUAAUCUGCGAUAAGCGUCGGUGAGGUGAUAUGAACCGUUAUAACCGGCGAUUUCCGAAUGGGGAAACCCAGUGUGUUUCGACACACUAUCAUUAACUGAAUCCAUAGGUUAAUGAGGCGAACCGGGGGAACUGAAACAUCUAAGUACCCCGAGGAAAAGAAAUCAACCGAGAUUCCCCCAGUAGCGGCGAGCGAACGGGGAGGAGCCCAGAGCCUGAAUCAGUGUGUGUGUUAGUGGAAGCGUCUGGAAAGGCGUGCGAUACAGGGUGACAGCCCCGUACACAAAAAUGCACAUAUUGUGAGCUCGAUGAGUAGGGCGGGACACGUGGUAUCCUGUCUGAAUAUGGGGGGACCAUCCUCCAAGGCUAAAUACUCCUGACUGACCGAUAGUGAACCAGUACCGUGAGGGAAAGGCGAAAAGAACCCCGGCGAGGGGAGUGAAAAAGAACCUGAAACCGUGUACGUACAAGCAGUGGGAGCCUCUUAAUGGGGUGACUGCGUACCUUUUGUAUAAUGGGUCAGCGACUUAUAUUCUGUAGCAAGGUUAACCGAAUAGGGGAGCCGAAGGGAAACCGAGUCUUAACUGGGCGUUAAGUUGCAGGGUAUAGACCCGAAACCCGGUGAUCUAGCCAUGGGCAGGUUGAAGGUUGGGUAACACUAACUGGAGGACCGAACCGACUAAUGUUGAAAAAUUAGCGGAUGACUUGUGGCUGGGGGUGAAAGGCCAAUCAAACCGGGAGAUAGCUGGUUCUCCCCGAAAGCUAUUUAGGUAGCGCCUCGUGAAUUCAUCUCCGGGGGUAGAGCACUGUUUCGGCAAGGGGGUCAUCCCGACUUACCAACCCGAUGCAAACUGCGAAUACCGGAGAAUGUUAUCACGGGAGACACACGGCGGGUGCUAACGUCCGUCGUGAAGAGGGAAACAACCCAGACCGCCAGCUAAGGUCCCAAAGUCAUGGUUAAGUGGGAAACGAUGUGGGAAGGCCCAGACAGCCAGGAUGUUGGCUUAGAAGCAGCCAUCAUUUAAAGAAAGCGUAAUAGCUCACUGGUCGAGUCGGCCUGCGCGGAAGAUGUAACGGGGCUAAACCAUGCACCGAAGCUGCGGCAGCGACACUAUGUGUUGUUGGGUAGGGGAGCGUUCUGUAAGCCUGUGAAGGUGGCCUGUGAGGGUUGCUGGAGGUAUCAGAAGUGCGAAUGCUGACAUAAGUAACGAUAAAGCGGGUGAAAAGCCCGCUCGCCGGAAGACCAAGGGUUCCUGUCCAACGUUAAUCGGGGCAGGGUGAGUCGACCCCUAAGGCGAGGCCGAAAGGCGUAGUCGAUGGGAAACAGGUUAAUAUUCCUGUACUUGGUGUUACUGCGAAGGGGGGACGGAGAAGGCUAUGUUGGCCGGGCGACGGUUGUCCCGGUUUAAGCGUGUAGGCUGGUUUUCCAGGCAAAUCCGGAAAACCAAGGCUGAGGCGUGAUGACGAGGCACUACGGUGCUGAAGCGACAAAUGCCCUGCUUCCAGGAAAAGCCUCUAAGCAUCAGGUAACAUCAAAUCGUACCCCAAACCGACACAGGUGGUCAGGUAGAGAAUACCAAGGCGCUUGAGAGAACUCGGGUGAAGGAACUAGGCAAAAUGGUGCCGUAACUUCGGGAGAAGGCACGCUGAUAUGUAGGUGAAGCGACUUGCUCGUGGAGCUGAAAUCAGUCGAAGAUACCAGCUGGCUGCAACUGUUUAUUAAAAACACAGCACUGUGCAAACACGAAAGUGGACGUAUACGGUGUGACGCCUGCCCGGUGCCGGAAGGUUAAUUGAUGGGGUUAGCGGUAACGCGAAGCUCUUGAUCGAAGCCCCGGUAAACGGCGGCCGUAACUAUAACGGUCCUAAGGUAGCGAAAUUCCUUGUCGGGUAAGUUCCGACCUGCACGAAUGGCGUAAUGAUGGCCAGGCUGUCUCCACCCGAGACUCAGUGAAAUUGAACUCGCUGUGAAGAUGCAGUGUACCCGCGGCAAGACGGAAAGACCCCGUGAACCUUUACUAUAGCUUGACACUGAACAUUGAGCCUUGAUGUGUAGGAUAGGUGGGAGGCUUUGAAGUGUGGACGCCAGUCUGCAUGGAGCCGACCUUGAAAUACCACCCUUUAAUGUUUGAUGUUCUAACGUUGGCCCGUAAUCCGGGUUGCGGACAGUGUCUGGUGGGUAGUUUGACUGGGGCGGUCUCCUCCUAAAGAGUAACGGAGGAGCACGAAGGUUGGCUAAUCCUGGUCGGACAUCAGGAGGUUAGUGCAAUGGCAUAAGCCAGCUUGACUGCGAGCGUGACGGCGCGAGCAGGUGCGAAAGCAGGUCAUAGUGAUCCGGUGGUUCUGAAUGGAAGGGCCAUCGCUCAACGGAUAAAAGGUACUCCGGGGAUAACAGGCUGAUACCGCCCAAGAGUUCAUAUCGACGGCGGUGUUUGGCACCUCGAUGUCGGCUCAUCACAUCCUGGGGCUGAAGUAGGUCCCAAGGGUAUGGCUGUUCGCCAUUUAAAGUGGUACGCGAGCUGGGUUUAGAACGUCGUGAGACAGUUCGGUCCCUAUCUGCCGUGGGCGCUGGAGAACUGAGGGGGGCUGCUCCUAGUACGAGAGGACCGGAGUGGACGCAUCACUGGUGUUCGGGUUGUCAUGCCAAUGGCACUGCCCGGUAGCUAAAUGCGGAAGAGAUAAGUGCUGAAAGCAUCUAAGCACGAAACUUGCCCCGAGAUGAGUUCUCCCUGACUCCUUGAGAGUCCUGAAGGAACGUUGAAGACGACGACGUUGAUAGGCCGGGUGUGUAAGCGCAGCGAUGCGUUGAGCUAACCGGUACUAAUGAACCGUGAGGCUUAACCUU
rnacentral:rRNA from 60 species